rnacentral:rRNA from 1 species
UACGUAGGGGGCUAGCGUUGUCCGGAAUCAUUGGGCGUAAAGCGCGUGUAGGCUGUCCGGUAAGUCCGCUGUGAAAGUCGGGGGCUCAACCCUCGAAUGCCGGUGGAUACUGUCGGGCUAGAGUGCGGAAGAGGCGAGUGGAAUUCCUGGUGUAGCGGUGAAAUGCGCAGAUAUCAGGAGGAACACCAAUUGCGAAGGCAGCUCGCUGGGACGUUACUGACGCUGAGACGCGAAAGCGUGGGGAGCAAACAGG